AGAUUGAACGCUGGCGGAAUGCUUUACACAUGCAAGUCGAACGGCAGCACGGGGGCAACCCUGGUGGCGAGUGGCGAACGGGUGAGUAAUACAUCGGAACGUGCCCAGUCGUGGGGGAUAACUACGCGAAAGCGUAGCUAAUACCGCAUACGAACUCUGGUUGAAAGCGGGGGACUCGCAAGAGCCUCGCGCGAUUGGAGCGGCCGAUGGCAGAUUAGGUAGUUGGUGGGGUAAAGGCUCACCAAGCCGACGAUCUGUAGCUGGUCUGAGAGGACGACCAGCCACACUGGGACUGAGACACGGCCCAGACUCCUACGGGAGGCAGCAGGUGGGAAUUUUGGACAAGUGGGCGCGAAGCCUAGACUCCGAGCCAUUCCGCGUGCAGGAUGGAACGGUCCCCGUGGGUUAGUAAACGUGUACGUUUUAGG
rnacentral:rRNA from 1 species